ACCUAUGGCCAUGCUACUCUGAACAAGUCCUAUCCUGUCUGACCUCAGAAGCUAAGCAGAGUUGGGCCUAGUUAGUACUAGGUGGAUGGGAGACCACCUAGGAAGACCAAGUGCUGUAGGCA
rnacentral:rRNA from 1 species